GACGAACGCUGGCGGCGUGCCUAAUACAUGCAAGUCGAGCGAGUCUGCCUUGAAGAUCGGAGUGCUCGCACUCUGUGAAACAAGAUACAGGCUAGCGGCGGACGGGUGAGUAACACGUGGGUAACCUGCCCAAGAGAUCGGGAUAACACCUGGAAACAGAUGCUAAUACCGGAUAACAACAGAUGAUGCCUAUCAACUGUUUAAAAGAUGGUUCUGCUAUCACUCUUGGAUGGACCUGCGGUGCAUUAGCUAGUUGGUAGGGUAACGGCCUACCAAGGCGAUGAUGCAUAGCCGAGUUGAGAGACUGAUCGGCCACAUUGGGACUGAGACACGGCCCAAACUCCUACGGGAGGCAGCAGUAGGGAAUCUUCCACAAUGGACGCAAGUCUGAUGGAGCAACGCCGCGUGAGUGAAGAAGGGUUUCGGCUCGUAAAGCUCUGUUGUUGGUGAAGAAGGACAGGGGUAGUAACUGACCUUUGUUUGACGGUAAUCAAUUAGAAAGACACGGCUAACUACGUG
rnacentral:rRNA from 1 species